CACGUAGGGGGCAAGCGUUAUCCGGAUUUACUGGGUGUAAAGGGAGCGUAGACGGCGAUGCAAGCCAGAUGUGAAAGCCCGGGGCUCAACCCCGGGACUGCAUUUGGAACUGUAUAGCUAGAGUGUCGGAGAGGCAGGCGGAAUUCCUAGUGUAGCGGUGAAAUGCGUAGAUAUUAGGAGGAACACCAGUGGCGAAGGCGGCCUGCUGGACGAUGACUGACGUUGAGGCUCGAAAGCGUGGGGAGCAAACAGG
rnacentral:rRNA from 1 species